rnacentral:rRNA from 1 species
GGUUAAGCGACUAAGCGUACACGGUGGAUGCCCUGGCAGUCAGAGGCGAUGAAGGACGUGCUAAUCUGCGAAAAGCGCCGGCGAGGUGAUAUGAACCUUUGACCCGGCGAUGUCCGAAUGGGGAAACCCAGUGUGUUCCGACACACUAUCGUUAACUGAAUACAUAGGUUAACGAGGCGAACCGGGGGAACUGAAACAUCUAAGUACCCCGAGGAAAAGAAAUCAACCGAGAUUCCCCCAGUAGCGGCGAGCGAACGGGGAGCAGCCCAGAGUCUGAAUCAGCUUGUGUGUUAGUGGAAGCGUCUGGAAAGUCGCACGGUACAGGGUGAAAGUCCCGUACACGAAAGCACACAGGCUGUGAACUCGAAGAGUAGGGCGGGACACGUGGUAUCCUGUCUGAAUAUGGGGGGACCAUCCUCCAAGGCUAAAUACUCCUGACUGACCGAUAGUGAACCAGUACCGUGAGGGAAAGGCGAAAAGAACCCCGGCGAGGGGAGUGAAAAAGAACCUGAAACCGUGUACGUACAAGCAGUGGGAGCCUCUUUAUGGGGUGACUGCGUACCUUUUGUAUAAUGGGUCAGCGACUUAUAUUCUGUAGCAAGGUUAACCGUAUAGGGGAGCCGAAGGGAAACCGAGUCUUAACUGGGCGUUAAGUUGCAGGGUAUAGACCCGAAACCCGGUGAUCUAGCCAUGGGCAGGUUGAAGGUUGGGUAACACUAACUGGAGGACCGAACCGACUAAUGUUGAAAAAUUAGCGGAUGACUUGUGGCUGGGGGUGAAAGGCCAAUCAAACCGGGAGAUAGCUGGUUCUCCCCGAAAGCUAUUUAGGUAGCGCCUCGUGAAUUCAUCUUCGGGGGUAGAGCACUGUUUCGGCUAGGGGGCCAUCCCGGCUUACCAACCCGAUGCAAACUACGAAUACCGAAGAAUGUUAUCACGGGAGACACACGGCGGGUGCUAACGUCCGUCGUGAAGAGGGAAACAACCCAGACCGCCAGCUAAGGUCCCAAAGUCAUGGUUAAGUGGGAAACGAUGUGGGAAGGCACAGACAGCCAGGAUGUUGGCUUAGAAGCAGCCAUCAUUUAAAGAAAGCGUAAUAGCUCACUGGUCGAGUCGGCCUGCGCGGAAGAUGUAACGGGGCUAAACCAUGCACCGAAGCUGCGGCAGCGACGCUUAUGCGUUGUUGGGUAGGGGAGCGUUCUGUAAGCCGUUGAAGGUGUCCUGUGAGGGGUGCUGGAGGUAUCAGAAGUGCGAAUGCUGACAUAAGUAACGAUAAAGCGGGUGAAAAGCCCGCUCGCCGGAAGACCAAGGGUUCCUGUCCAACGUUAAUCGGGGCAGGGUGAGUCGACCCCUAAGGCGAGGCCGAAAGGCGUAGUCGAUGGGAAACAGGUUAAUAUUCCUGUACUUGGUGUUACUGCGAAGGGGGGACGGAGAAGGCUAUGUUAGCCGGGCGGCGGUUGUCCCGGUUUAAGCAUGUAGGCGGAGGUUCCAGGUAAAUCCGGUUCCUUGUUAACGCUGAGGUGUGAUGACGAGGCACUACGGUGCUGAAGUAACAAAUGCCCUGCUUCCAGGAAAAGCCUCUAAGCAUCAGGUAACAUCAAAUCGUACCCCAAACCGACACAGGUGGUCAGGUAGAGAAUACCAAGGCGCUUGAGAGAACUCGGGUGAAGGAACUAGGCAAAAUGGUGCCGUAACUUCGGGAGAAGGCACGCUGAUAUGUAGGUGAAGCCCCUGCGGGUGGAGCUGAAAUCAGUCGAAGAUACCAGCUGGCUGCAACUGUUUAUUAAAAACACAGCACUGUGCAAACACGAAAGUGGACGUAUACGGUGUGACGCCUGCCCGGUGCCGGAAGGUUAAUUGAUGGGGUUAGCGGUAACGCGAAGCUCUUGAUCGAAGCCCCGGUAAACGGCGGCCGUAACUAUAACGGUCCUAAGGUAGCGAAAUUCCUUGUCGGGUAAGUUCCGACCUGCACGAAUGGCGUAAUGAUGGCCAGGCUGUCUCCACCCGAGACUCAGUGAAAUUGAACUCGCUGUGAAGAUGCAGUGUACCCGCGGCAAGACGGAAAGACCCCGUGAACCUUUACUAUAGCUUGACACUGAACACUGGUCCUUGAUGUGUAGGAUAGGUGGGAGGCUUUGAAGCGUGGACGCCAGUCUGCGUGGAGCCAACCUUGAAAUACCACCCUUUAAUGGCUGGUGUUCUAACGUAGACCCGUGAUCCGGGUUGCGGACAGUGUCUGGUGGGUAGUUUGACUGGGGCGGUCUCCUCCCAAAGAGUAACGGAGGAGCACGAAGGUUAGCUAAUCCUGGUCGGACAUCAGGAGGUUAGUGCAAUGGCAUAAGCUAGCUUGACUGCGAGAGUGACGGCUCGAGCAGGUGCGAAAGCAGGUCAUAGUGAUCCGGUGGUUCUGAAUGGAAGGGCCAUCGCUCAACGGAUAAAAGGUACUCCGGGGAUAACAGGCUGAUACCGCCCAAGAGUUCAUAUCGACGGCGGUGUUUGGCACCUCGAUGUCGGCUCAUCACAUCCUGGGGCUGAAGUAGGUCCCAAGGGUAUGGCUGUUCGCCAUUUAAAGUGGUACGCGAGCUGGGUUUAGAACGUCGUGAGACAGUUCGGUCCCUAUCUGCCGUGGGCGCUGGAGAAUUGAGGGGGGCUGCUCCUAGUACGAGAGGACCGGAGUGGACGCAUCACUGGUGUUCGGGUUGUCAUGCCAAUGGCACUGCCCGGUAGCUAAAUGCGGAAGAGAUAAGUGCUGAAAGCAUCUAAGCACGAAACUUGCCCCGAGAUGAGUUCUCCCUGAGACUUUAAGUCUCCUGAAGGAACGUUGAAGACUACGACGUUGAUAGGUCGGGUGUGUAAGCGCAGCGAUGCGUUGAGCUAACCGAUACUAAUGAACCGUGAGGCUUAACCUU